rnacentral:rRNA from 1 species
CCUACGGGUGGCAGCAGUCGAGAAUCAUUCACAAUGGGGGAAACCCUGAUGGUGCGACGCCGCGUGGGGGAAUGAAGGUCUUCGGAUUGUAAACUCCUGUCAUGUGGGAGCAAAUUAAAAAGAUAGUACCACAAGAGGAAGAGACGGCUAACUCUGUGCCAGUAGCCGCGGUAAUACAGAGGUCUCAAGCGUUGUUCGGAAUCACUGGGCGUAAAGCGUGCGUAGGCUGUUUCGUAAGUCGUGUGUGAAAGGCGCGGGCUCAACCCGCGGACGGCACAUGAUACUGCGAGACUAGAGUAGUGGAGAGGGAACCGGAAUUCUCGGUGUAGCAGUGAAAUGCGUAGAUAUCGAGAGGAACACUCGUGGCGAAGGCGGGUUCCUGGACAUUAACUGACGCUGAGGCACGAAGGCCAGGGGAGCGAAAGGGAUUAGAUACCCCUGUAGUC